rnacentral:misc_RNA from 1 species
GAAAUUCCAAGUAGCUCGGCGUCGUGGUUUGGGAGAAGAACAGUAAGAGAAGAUGUUGGAGGUGGUGUUGAACGAUCGCUUAGGGAAGAAGGUGAGAGUUAAGUGCAACGAUGAUGACACCAUCGGCGACCUUAAGAAACUCGUAGCUGCGCAGACCGGUACCCGAGCCGAGAAGAUCCGAAUCCAGAAGUGGUACACUGUUUACAAAGAUCAUAUCACUCUCAAGGACUACGAGAUUCAUGACGGAAUGGGUCUCGAGCUCUACUACAAUUAACUCCCAAAGUACUAUUUGGUUUUUUUUUUCACUGUUUAUCGAUUUAAUGUUUGUGUAUUUUGAUUUAAGUUAAUAAAUUUGCUCUUUUUGUGUAUUUUUUUAGAAAUUGAAGUCUAAUUUAGUAGAUCUUCUUUGCUGCUUUUGGUUUAAGCUUGUUUUCGAGGGAAGCACCAAGAAAUUGAGCCAGGUUUAAUAUAAAUUGCUGAGUUUGGAGCUGUAAAUGCAUGUUAAUUAUAAUUAUGGGAACUGAUUCAUCUGGGUCUUUACAAUUAUUUAGCAAUUGGCUUAAUAUAGCUGUUGAUUAAAGAAAAGGGUUUGGGUAGAAACCUCGAUUAAUUUCGGCUAAUUACUGUGACGUGAGAGGUUUAACAAUUAACAUUGUUCUUUUUGGAAAAGAAGGGUCCUUUAGCUGAGCUCUAUAAAUUUUCCCAUGUAGGAGUAUAAUAAUGUUUUGAGUGUACAGAUGAUCAGUAUCCAAUUUUCUUAGGUGAGAGGAGAAAUGAAAUAAAAGAUGAACUUGCAUGAAUGACAAACUUGUUGAAGUUCUGGAAAGAUUAUUCAUCUAAAUCUUUAUUCUCUUUAUAUUUCUCUCUUCUGCCUCCGUUUCCUGUCCAGUAGACCACUGUGUGUGACUGUCUGCUUCUGAAUCUAAGGUCUACAACAUAAAUACACAUGAUUUGAUUGUGCGUAUGUGUGCAAAUUUUAACUUCUUUUUAAUUUCAAUUUUAUAUGUUCUUUUAAUCUUUUAGGAUCUGAUAAUAAAAAUUGUAGAAGGAUAUAUUUAAAACUCCAUCUCCAAUCCAAUAUCUCUUCUUCUUCACUUUAUACUUAGUAGUCUUCUCUGUUUUGUAGUCUUGUUUCCAGGUUUAAGUUAUAUUUAUAUUUGAUAUUCAGAUUGGUGUUUUAUAUGUAUAUACACAGAUAUUUAUCAUAAGUUUUCUUUGGCUACCAUGAAAAGUUGAUCUUGGCAAAUGAGUUGACCACCAACCAUAUUUUUCCUGUUCUGCAAUUUUCUCAUUAAACGGAUAGAAUAAUGACGUACAUUAACAUGAUAUAAGAACACGUACAAUAGCCUUGUAUGGGUUUUGUUGCGAAUAUGGUCCUAGCAAGCAAUAAUUCAGCAAGGGAGUAUAUAGGGAGUACCCUACCUAAAGACUGCUUUACAAAUUGGACUAUGAUUAGCUGCUAGUAGACUGGUAGUCUUGAAAGGGGAAUUUAACAAUCUUAGAAGACAGACAGAGACAAUUUGAUCAGAGAGAGAGCUUGUGAAAUUGGCCUCAAAAGAAAAAAUGGUGACCCAAUGCAUGAAGCAUCUCGAUAGUUGAACCCUCUUUUUUUUUUAAAUCAAAAAGAUAGAUAAAAUUGUUUUCUAUGGUGCCUUCUCUUUUUCAUGUGAAAUUUAACUUCCUUUUAUUGAG